rnacentral:tRNA from 1 species
GGGACGUUAGCUCAGUUGGUCAGAGCAGGGGACUCAUAAUCCCUUGGUCGUUGGUUCAAGUCCAACACGUCCUACCA